rnacentral:rRNA from 1 species
AUUGAACGCUGGCGGCAGGCCUAACACAUGCAAGUCGAACGAGUGGCGGACGGGUGAGUAAUGUCUGGGAAACUGCCUGAUGGAGGGGGAUAACUACUGGAAACGGUCGCUAAUACCGCAUAACAUAAGAUGUCCCAAGAUGGGAUUAGCUAGUUGGUGGGGUAAAGGCUCACCAAGGCGACGAUCCCUAGCUGGUCUGAGAGGAUGACCAGCAACACUGGAACGGAGACACGGUCCAUACUCCUACGUGAGGCAGCAGUGGGUAAUAUUGCACAAUGGGCGCAAGCCUGAUGCAGCCAUGCCGCGUGUAUGAAGAAGGCCUUCGGGUUGUAAAGUACUUUCAGCGGGGAGGCGUUACCCGCAGAAGAAGCACCGGCUAACUCCGUGCCAGCAGCCGCGGUAAUAC